rnacentral:lncRNA from 1 species
UUUUUAUUUUUUUAUUUUUAUUUUAUUUUAUUUCCCCAACACAUUAUUUUUUUUCCUACUGUACAGCAUGGUGACCCAGUUACACAUACAUGUAUACAUUCUUUUUUCUCACAUUAUCAUGCUCCAUCAUAAGUGACCAGACAUAGUUCCCAGUGCUACACAGCAGGAUCUCAUUGCUAAUCCAUCCCAAAGGCAAUAGACUGCAUCUAUCAACCCCAAGCUCCCAAUCCACCCCACUCCCUCCCCUUUGCCCUUGGCAACCAUAAGUCUAUUCUCCAAGUCCAUUACAGAAUUCAUCAAUCUCAUUUUGAAAAGCACAGUUCUGGAUAUGUCCUGUAAAAACUUAAUAGAUUUCCUUUCGUUGUGUUUAAAAGUGACAGAAAGCGUCAGUGACUUCAUGGCACUAUUUGAGAAAAGGAUGCCAUGAAAUGGGGUUGAAUGGACUAUAGGUUCAGUGAAGUCUAAUUUCAGAUAUUCACCACUAUUCUUUCCUCCUUUCUGGCUGCUUAUGUUAGAUCAUCCUACUCAAGUAGUCUCACUUGUUCCAUAAGCUUAUAAAUAAAUACAUAUUCUAUCCUAGUACUGGUAUCCUGUUCACUAUUUGCAGUUCUGACACUGUUAUGAGUGCUAGUAUUUACCUGAAUCAUUCCAUUUUACUUUUGCCCUUUACCAUUGGGCCCUUUUUUUUUUUUUUUUUUUUUGGCCACUCCUGUGGCACAUGGAAGUUCCCGGGCUAAGGAUGGAAUUGGAGCUGCAGCUGCCGGCGGCUACCGCUCCCAUUAGACCCCUAGCCCAGGACGCUCCAUAUGCAGCGGGUGUGGCCCUAAAAAAAAACAAAAGACCAAAAAAAAAAGUACGUUUUGAGGAGGUGGUUUUCUUGAGACCACAAUGGCCCCAUGAAACACGCACUGUAAAGGGGAGGGGGCCUGGGUACCACAUUUGGGGAAAUGUUGCAUAAUCAGCCCUGCCUUUGAGAGGCACACGUACGCCAGGACAUUAAACCAGGAUAGUAAGGAUAUUAAAGGCUUUCUUAGAAGCCCUCCAGGAAAGACUCCCUUUCAACUUUGUUUAAUCCAUUCAUUUCCUAAACCAAUUAACCCACAGUUCCUUUUCCCACAUUAUUAACAUUCCACACAACUAGUCUUGGAACCUAUGUAGAAAAUCCUGAUUUAGGCUAAAAAUCUCACGUUUCCUUGGAGCCAGAGAAUCAUCAGCAUUCACCACACCUGCCCAUUGAUAUGAGUCUGCUGAAUAGCUUCCUGGCUUUGCCCAUCCAUCCCUUUCCAAACUGCCAGCUUUCAAGAGGCUGUUUAGAAAUUGCCCAUGUGUGAUAGCAGCCAGAAACUUCGCCUUGACUCAUUGGCGGAGCAGGGCCUCAGGGUCUCCUCUCAAGACGACACCAACUCAAAAACUAGGCUCUGCCAACCACGGUCCCCGUAUCUCAGCAAACCAGCCUCGAAGGCUCACAGGAGCACCCCACGGCCUUGCGCAUCCUGAGUUUUGGCUGGGGAGCCCAGCUAUCAUUCACGCUGUCCUGAAACGGAAUUCCAAGAUUUCCAUUUUCGGGUGAAAAGGGGAGGAGAUUAUUUUCAGCAGGCUGGCUGGGAACGUGGAGGGCCGAUUUGGCGUUCUGUCUUCCUGGAACGAGGUCUAGACUUUCUGAGGAGUCACCUCUAUAAAUAGCAUGGUUAGUUAACCAAGAAAUAUAACAUGUCCUACUUCAAGCCCCACUCCCGGGGUGAAGUCAGGGUGGGCUUUUGCAAUGUGCCCACAAAUCCCACAGAGCAAUCCAUUUUUUAAAAAGUAAAAACACUCCUCUUUUAAAGGAGUGUUUCCUCACAUCUUUGGCCUUUUAAAGUUAAUGCUCCUUUUUAAGAAAAGUAGCUGGGAUACUCUUCCAAUUACAUGUGGGGGCAGUUGGUGGGGGUAAAGCAACAAGGCAAUCUCUUACCCACUUUAUGCAAACAGGCCUCUGGGGCUCGGAUGUCAGUGGGUUCCAGCUACACACUGGCUGUUACACAACAGAGGCGAUGUUCCCUGGAGCAGAGCUAUUCAUAUACCGUGCCUCGCUCGAGACCUGUUUCUGAAGUUGGUGUUUCCCCCCAAAGGAGUCUAGCCUUAAAAGAAAUAGAUCUGCAGCUCUGUGCCCACAUGCGUACACAACACAGUCCAAGCCAGGAGCAUCUGCUCACUCCGCAUAGUGGUCCGAGGAGUGAGAAUCCACAAGACUGGGAAUAUUCCGACUCAGACAACUUGGCACAUUCAAGUCCAUGGUUCUUUUGCACUCAAAGGGUAUAUGUUCUAUUCAGUUAUGAUGCUUCUGGAAAGAAAUAACUGAGAGGAGGAAAAAAAAAAAAAAACAGUCUUUUCUUUGCGAUGGAAAAUGGAAAGGUUUGGUUGACUGGCCAUCGCAGGCUCAAGCCUGGAAGAGAUUAGGGGCCUGCAAUGACAUCAAUAGAGGGAGACGAUUACAAAUGUAGGUAGAGGGAUGAUUGCUUCAGAAAGGCCUUUCAAAGGCUUGACAACUUCUCUUGAAGGAUGGUCCCAAUAGUGUUCUCUGAAGGCAGGGCUGCCAGUCUAUGCGUGUGCAGGACAGUUCAAAGAAAACAAAACACUUAAGCGUAAUCUUUUGGAGGGUGAGGAAUCAUGGCAUAAUGAUGAUAAAAUGCUACUUCUGCAUCUGACAAGCAGCACAGCUGUUUGAUGGUAAGGAGAAGAUUCUGGCUGAGCCAAAAGCUGUGAGUUCACUUGGCCUAUGGUUCUUCAAGAGAGAGAGAGAGAGAGAGAGAAUCUGGCCCCAACAUACUUGUGUGAUCCAGGAAUUAGCCUGGUAGCAGCCUCAAAGCGUGCCCAUGGUGAACCUGGACCUUUAAGUAGACUCCGUGAUGUUGUGGUUCCACAGGGGGUCCUCGAAGCAAAAGUAUAUACCUCAGAGAGGGUCACAGAGAAGUCCUGCCCAAGUCUGA